UCAGAACGAACGCUGGCGGCAGGCUUAACACAUGCAAGUCGAGCGCCCCGCAAGGGGAGCGGCAGACGGGUGAGUAACGCGUGGGAAUCUACCCUUGACUACGGAAUAACGCAGGGAAACUUGUGCUAAUACCGUAUGUGUCCUUCGGGAGAAAGAUUUAUCGGUCAAGGAUGAGCCCGCGUUGGAUUAGCUAGUUGGUGGGGUAAAGGCCUACCAAGGCGACGAUCCAUAGCUGGUCUGAGAGGAUGAUCAGCCACAUUGGGACUGAGACACGGCCCAAACUCCUACGGGAGGCAGCAGUGGGGAAUAUUGGACAAUGGGCGCAAGCCUGAUCCAGCCAUGCCGCGUGAGUGAUGAAGGCCCUAGGGUUGUAAAGCUCUUUCACCGGAGAAGAUAAUGACG
rnacentral:rRNA from 3 species